GUGAAAUUUUCAAAUCUGUCCCUCCAAUAUUUUCGAAAUCAAUCACCUUUUCCCUCCACCAAUACUUUUUUAGGUCUUCUCUGUAUAUCACGAAAUUAUUUCAGUAGGCACUUUAAAGGCUCUAAUCUUUUCUGAUGUCCAACUAAUCUCUGUCUCGCCAUCACCAGCAACCAUCCCAGUAACUUCAUCGUCUCUCUCUUUCUCUCUCGACACUCUCUAUAUACCUAUUCUCACUGAUGGGGGAUAGCCUAUCCACAAUGAAUUGAGACCUGAGAGAUGUUUCUUGCAAAAAAUCAAACUAUUUUUUCACUUGUGAAUCCCUUAUCUUGAGGUUCAUGAUGGAGAACGAAAUAUGCGAACUGAUAUCAUAUGUAAUACAAUGACAAUUCUUGGGGCCAAAGUUAUCAAAAGAUGGGGUAAAAAGAAGAACAUUGACGAGGAGGCAUUAGGUGCUGUUGAGAAUGAUGUUUCAAUGGGUAUCUAGUUUGAUUGAGGUCAUUUGCUUGAAAAUUUUGCAUGUGGAAGAUUUCAAUAUGAUGAAGAGUUGUCGAAACGAUUUGAAGAUAUUAUCUGAUAGGAUUAGUUAUAUCAGUUCAAUCAAUACAAGUUUAUUUUAAAAGUUGUGACAUUAAUAUUUUGGAUUAGUACUUCCUUUGAAUUGAGUAGAUUCAAUGAGAUAUAUUUUGUUUUAUGAAUUAAUAAUAUUAUGUUUCUAGCAUUUGCC